UCGGACGGCCAUAGUGGUCAGGUUCCACCCGUUCCCUUUUCGAACACGGAAGUUAAGCUGACCGACGUCUUGGGUUGUACUGCGUUCAUGCGCGGGAAGCCCAAGUCGCUGUCCUCU
rnacentral:rRNA from 1 species